rnacentral:lncRNA from 1 species
UCAUCAUGCCCUCCAUCUCUUUCUUCUUUGCAGCUACAACAUCUUUCAUGAACUUGCUAUAUUGAGGAAUCGGCAUGAAAGCAUCAAUGAUGGGCAUUGUGACUUGAACUUCACUCAUUUGCUUCUCAAAUAGAGCUUUGUACUUCUCUAGCAGCUGCCUCUUGAAUCUACCAGGGGAUGGAAGUUUGGGUUCAUAGGGAGGAGGAACAAAAGAAUCCUCACUUGCUGGAGCAACAACUUUACCAUCUUUCACUGUUUUCUUCUCUUCCCCAACCUUUCCUUUACCUUUCGCUUCCACAAUCUUUUCCAAGAUCUCAUCAUUGAUUUUCUCAUCAACAAUCACCACUUCAUCAUCU